CACUACAACACACUACAAUACAUUACAACACACUACAACUGACUACAACACACUACAACACACUACAAUACACUACAACACACUACAAUACACUACAACACACUACUACAACACACUACAACUGCAUUGGACUGCACUGGACUGCAUUGUUCUUCAGACAGUAUAACUGUUGUUUUCUGUCCCAUAACUUACUGCAGUAGUUAUUUUUGUGAGGGAACGGACAAUGGUGCAAGCCUGCGAUCCAGGCUAGCAGUGAAUGCUAUUGGUGAAAGCUAGCUGUGAAUGCUAUUGGUAAAGGUUAGCACACACACACACACACAGUGAGACACACACACACACACACACACACACA